AUGCACAGAUUUAGGAUGUCCCGUAAUUUGUUCAAACGCAUAGCCGAUGGUAUACUUGAGCAUGAUUAUGAUGGUUAUUUUACUCAAAAAAGAAGUGCUUCUGGAGCUCUUGGGUUACAUCCUCUGCAAAAGAUGACCGCGGCAAUGCGGAUGCUAACAUAUGGAAUAGCAGCUGAUGGUGCUGAUGAGUACAUCCGGUCCGCUGAGGCUACUAAUUUAGAGUCUUGCAAGAAAUUUGUGAUCAAAGUUUGUGAAGUUUUUGGGGAAAGGUACCUGAGAUCUCCAAAUGAAGAAGACAUUGCUAGGUUACUUGCAAUAGGGGAGGAAAGAGGAUUUCCUGGUAUGUUAGGGAGCAUAGAUUGCAUGCACUGGGGUUGGAAAAAUUGCCCCAAAAAAUGGCAUGGCAUGUUUAAAGGCCAUGUCAGCGAGCCCACUAUGAUCUUGGAAGCAGUUGCUUCACAAGAUCUUUGGAUUUGGCAUGCUUAUUUUGGUUUACCAGGGUCUCUGAAUGAUAUAAAUGUUCUUCAACGUUCUCCUGUUUUUACAAAGCUAGCUGAAGGCCAAACUCCUCCAGUGAAUUAUAGCAUCAAUGGCCAUCAGUACACAAUGGGGUAUUAUCUUGCAGAUGGUAUCUAUCCACGGUGGGCAACAUUUGUGAAGAGCAUACCAGCUCCAGAUACCAGAAAACAUAAAACUUUUGCCAAGAGGCAAGAGGGGGCUAGGAAAGAUGUGGAACGAGCCUUUGGAGUUCUCCAAUCCCGUUUUGCCAUUGUUCGUGGACCUGCUAAAGGAUGGAAACGUAAAGAAAUCGGUGAUGUCAUGAAAGCUUGUGUCAUAAUGCACAAUAUGAUAGUUGAAGAGGAGCGACAAACUGGUCGGCAAAGCUGCACUUUUGAGGCAAUGGGAGAAAGAGUCACGGUCUCUCGUACUCAUGCGGAACAACUGAGCUCUUUUAUUCAGAUGACUCACCGGAUUAGAAAUCAAGGUGAACAUGAUCAGCUUAAACUUGAUCUAAUUGACCAUGUGUGGCAAAAGUUUGGAAACGAGUGA
rnacentral:rRNA from 1 species